rnacentral:lncRNA from 1 species
AUCUCCUCCUCUUAUAUCACAUUAAACGUCUCAAGCAGACUGGGAAGCAUGGCUAUGAGGCAGUGACUGAGUUGCAAAUUCUCUAAAUUCUACUGCAACUGAGGGCUGUGUUUGAACCAAGGGUAGCCAUGAGGUUGCUCCCACUAGGGCCCAGCCAGAUCUUGCCAGUGACUGAAGGUGACACCGAGCCAGCUGGGAAGGCUGUGGGGCACCAGGGCUCACAUUCUACAAUGGCAAUAUCUGGGCACAAAAAUACAGCAAAAGGGCAGAACUCUCCAACUAUAAAGCACACUAAACAUAACUUCAAAAAGAAGUGCUUCACCGAGUCCUCAGGGGCAAUGGAAUGAGAUCUUCCAGAACACUAGAGAGGAACUAUCUGUGGUCAGUACGGAGACUGGAAAGAAGUGACUACUUUCACUAUACCAACUGCCAUGACAGUGGGAUGGGAAGAUUUCUCUAUGAAGGACUCUCCAGGUCCAAACACAACACCCAAAGCCACGUAGCCAGGACCUGUAAGCAAACCCCCUUCCCACCUUUAUCAUCUGUGUCAAGCUACCUCUGGCCCACGGUGUCCAUCUUAGUGAACCUAAUUCUUGGCUCACAGUGAUGCUCACAGACACAUCUCAUUAAUUUAAAGUCUCUGAUUUACUGGUUCAAAAGAGGAAUGCUGUUAAUUAAUUGCCCUUUGCCACAUGGACAGCGGAAGCAACAUCGGCCUCUCUUCAGCUUGCAUCUGGGCAAUCCAGGGAUCUAAGUAGAGUAUGAUAUGGUCCAACCAAGUGCAUCCAGGGAAGAGAUUCAGGAGCUUUCAUGGAACACUGGAAAAUCGAAACAGCAGCUAAAAGUGCAGCUACAGAAGCUUCCAGAUAAGAAUCUUCACUCCGGUGAGCUUGGGGGAGAAAGUAUUGACCCCCAGACUCCUAAAUCCCAUAUUAAAAGGAUGUGUUAUCUCAGGUUUAUCUUUAUGGUUUAUCCUGAAUGCCCAUUUAUAUCAACGGAAGCAGAGCUUCUCUGAGGACAAAGAUAUUUUACGCGCACAAGUAUUGAUAACCUGGAAUCAUGAAACUUUAACCUUGGAAGGCAUAUUGUAGCAAGACCGCGCCACUCUAUCAAAUUUCCUCCAAGCACUGUGUAUGCUUCUCAGGAACUUUCUGUGUGUCUGAUGACAUGUCGGCCUAACACGUUCAGCACAGAGGAGACGACCCAAAGAAAUAUCAUCCCUGAAGACUGUCUUCCCGAGGACGGGAGUGUCUGUUGGCUAGGACACUGAACCAUAGCAAGCAUGAGAUGAUUUCGCCAGUGCACACAUUCCAGCCCUGACCACUGCACAUCUCCCACAAGAA